GUCUUCUUGAUUAUAAUUUGAAGUCUGACCUGCUCUAUGAUUUUUAAAUGGCCGCAGUAUUUUGACUGUGCUAAGGUAGCAUAAUAAUUAGUUUCUUAAUUAGAAGCUUGUAUGAAUGGUUUGAUGAGAAAACUUCUUUCUUAUUUUUAAUUUUCUUGAAUUUUAUUUUUAAGUAAAAAAGCUUAAAUUUUUUUAGGGGACGAGAAGACCCUUUAGAAUUUUAUAUAAUUUUAAAUUAAUUUUUUUUUAGUAUUUAUUUAUUGAUUUAAUUUUUUAUUUAGUUGGGGUGACUGAAAAAUUUAAUUAACUUUUUUUAUUUAUUUACAUUAUAAAAGGUUUAUUGAUCCGUAAAGCGAUUAUAAGAAAAAAUUACCUAAGGGAUAACAGCGUUAUAAUUUUUUAGAGCUCUAAUCGAAAAAAUUGAUUGCGA
rnacentral:rRNA from 1 species